CCCACUGAGGGAGGCCAGGGAUCGAACCUGUGUCCUCAUGGUUCCUAGUCAAAUUCAUUUCUGCUGAACCACGACAGGAACUCCCGGAUAUUUUAGUUUUCUUUUUUAAACCAGAGUUAGAGUUUCUAUCCCCUUUAGUGUAGUUUUCUUUUUUAAACCAGAGUUAGAGUUUCUAUCCCCUUUAGUGUAUUAAUGCCUCAGAGAAUAUCUGGAUAACUGUGACAGCUAAGUGUACAGAACAGUGAUGCAGCUUGGUACUCAAUCAUGUAGACAAUUUCUCAGGAGAAGACUACACUGCCUUAUCUGUUGUGGGAAGUUUCUUUGCUUGCUUCAUGCAACAGUGUGGACCAGAGUGAAUGCAUAAGCAUGAACACAGAACCCCCAUCACCACUGUGAAUGGGCCACUUAACAAAUUCUGCAAGUCUGGAAGGUCUCCCCAGGAAGCUAAUUGAUUGAGUCUGCCAUUGCUGUGAGGUAGCCAUGUACUCACAUGCUUAGCACCCAAGACCCAUCUCGUGUGUGCUGGUCUGCCAGAAACAUGUGUUGUUAUGCUAGAAGGGAACAUGGCUCAGGAUAGAUUCAUAGGCAGGCCUCAGGAACUCUCCAGAGAUUUGGACUUCAUGAUAAUGAAUAGACUUUAUUUCAGGGGAGUACGCAUUAAGAUUGACAGACUAAUGGAACAGAUAGUAUAUAGUUUAAUAUAUCCUCCAUUAUUACUGCAUAUAUUGUUGCAGUUAAUGAACCAAUAUUGGUACAUUAUUAUUAACUAUAGUCUACAAGUUACAUGAAGGUUCCCACUUGGGGCUGUACAUUCUAGGGUUUUGACAAAUGCAUGAUGUCCUGUAUCCACCAUUCCAGUGUCCACACAGGACAGUUUCACUGCCCUAAAAAUCCUCUGUGUUCCACCUGUUCAUCCAUCUCUCUUUCCCUCUGAACGCCUGAUCUUUUUUCUCUCUCCAUAGUUUUUGCCUCUUCGGGAAUGUCACAUAGUUGAAAUCAUUAUAGUGUGUCGCCUUUUCAGACUGGCUUCUUUCAUUGAGUAAUCUGCAUUUAAGGUUCCCCCACGUGGCUUGAGAGUUCGUUUUAUCUUAUCACUGAAUAAUAUUCCAUGGGCUGUACCACAUUUUGUCUAUCCAUUCGCCCAUCUUACUGUUUUAUUUUUAAGCAGAUGCUAGAACAUUUUAGCACACAGUAGAUGUCUGGUAAAUAAAGAGUUAUUACAUGACCUAGUUGGAUUAAAUCCUUAUUCUUUCUCACAGGUGUGUAGCACAAAAGGAGUGUUCUGAUGGAAAAAGGCAAUUAUGUGUUAGGCACUCAUUUCUGCUUGUAUGCAGUUGUUGUUUAAGGAGAGUGCAUUUAACCCCACAGAGGCUUAGCCCAGCAGCUGCAAACAGCUUUGAUAUGCCCAGGCUUCCAGCCACAGUUUAAAAAUUCUCCCUAGCAUUGCACUAAUACGGUAGCUGCUCACCAGCCACAUGUGGCUAUUUCAAUUUACAUUGAUUAAAACUACAUAAAAUUAAAAAGUCAGUGCCUCUGUUGCACCAGCCACAGUUCAGCUGCUGGUUAACUGUACAUGGCUCUUGGUUACCAUUUUGGACCAGACACUUCUAGAAUGUUAUCAUCAUCACAGACAAUUUUAUUGGCCAGCAUUCAAAUAGAAGGGGGAGGGGGGAUUGCAAUGAGCUGACCAGGCCAAUCCUGAGUCCUCGUCAGUGCUCCGCUGCUUUGUGCUGCCACAAUUUUACAAUGGAAGAGAGGAAGGCCGGAGGUCUGUUUUCUGGAGAAAAGUUGCUUAAAAUAACUUCGUGGGGAUCCAAACGGCGGCCCAGGCCACUGAAGCUGUGAAAUCCUCCUUGUGUGACAACCCCAGGAGGCCCAGCUGGACAAAGGUUUAGGCCCUUGAUCAGCUAGUGUUAAGGAGUUUUACAGAACUCUGAGUUCUUGCCUAUUUAGUUUGGUGAAAAAGCAGGGGCCUUCUCUAAUUUGAGGGGUUGGGGGUGGGUGUGGAGAGGGAGUGAAACUUCUCAACUAAUAAAUCUGCACAUUGUACGCCCCUCCUUUAGUAAAUGCCUGUGCCUGUUGGAUACCAAGAGUGUGAAAGCUGAAUGAAUAGCAGAUACUUGACACAGACCCUGUUGCUUACUCCCUUGAAAUUGAAAUUACUCUUAUUUGGGAGCAAAGCAAAUGGCAGUUAAGCUGUCUUGGGGGUUUUUUUUCUUGAGGUUUGUUUUUUGUUUGUUUGUGGGGUUUUUUUGUUUGUUUGUUUUGUUUUUUGCCUUUUUAUGUCAGCUUUUUGGAUUUGAUCAGCUCUCAUUUCAUUCACGUGGUAAAAGCCAGGCUCACACAAAGUAUCAUGGACUUAGAUUUCAGUUCUGUAUUCAUUUUAGGUCUGGCCUUUUAAUAAAGUCUUUGAGGUUUUUUUGGUUUUUUUUUUCUUCUAAAUAAAAGUACAGAUAACAGACAUGAUAUGAAAUUGGGCUUUUCCUUCAUGUCUAAUCUGGAAAUUGGCUGUUGAUGCUGCUGAGGGUUUGUAAUAUAAUUUUCAGCUGAAAACACCAAAUUGCUCUGUUUGCACAUUGUAGCUUUAAAUAUUGACUUUUCACCUUCUGACAUGCUCCGGUUCCUGAGAGGCCUAACGUGGAAAGGGGAACGUGACAGAAUAACAUAGCUACCAUAAUUCCUGUGAAACGACUUAAAAUAUUCUGGUAUUUAGAAGUCCCGUCAGGACAUGAACACUUGGAAUCAUAACUGUCUAUAAACACAGGCUUAGGAUUGAUAGUUUUCUCUAAGAAUAGGCACAGAGAAAAUAGUAUAUUAUCUUGCAAAUGAAGAAUUGGAAAUGCCAGACCCCAAAUGAAGACAGAUUUCCCUUUAAUCUUUCGGCUAGUGUCACCUGCUAAACAACUCCCAGAAGAGUUGCUGAGAUGUAAUCAGCAUUUAAUAAUGCUUGCAUUUGUUCAGCCUACUUUUUUUCUUUUUUUUAAGCCAACACAUUGGCCCUUGAAUAAAAGGCAGGAUGACGGGUGGAUUUCUUAUAUUGACCAGGGUUUUCAUUGAACUUUAAAAAGUCUAUUUUAAUUUAGACACUGUUUCAUGUUAGCGAAGUCUCAAGAAAUUGAUAAUGGGGUUUCUUCGCAUGGGAUUGUUUUCUUAAAAGCCACACAAGGGGAAAAGAUCAAUAUUAGGGCUUUCCGAGUGGCAGCUUUUUACAGACUCCCCCACCCCCACCCCAGCACAAUUGAUUACAGCUGUUUUUGUAAAGGAUUUAAAAAGAACAAUCUGUAUGAAAACCCUCCUUCUUUGCUAUGAGUUGAGCAGUUCCAGGCAGGUUUCCAUGGGGGCUGCACUGCAGCGUGACCACUUGAAGAGCCUGUGGCUGCACCCGCGGGCGGGUGGGGGCAGCCAGGCGGGGAAAGGCUAUUAGGUGAGGGGUUGUGGGCACGCAUGCCAAAGAGGUUGCCCUGGCAGCUGCAAUCAUUCAGCCGAAUUCCUCCACCUCCAAAGCAGGAGGGGUGAGACGCAAGUGAUUUUUCUACGCACGCGGUGUUGUCAGCGGCCAGGAGAGAGAGGUGAAGAAUCUGUGUUUCACAGCAUUGGCCGAAGGCAGGUGUAUCCAUUCCAAGUUAGGAAAGCUAGAAACUGCUAGGCCCCCAGCUUCCACAUCCUCACUUGUUGCCUGGAGGCCACAGAGGGGUGGACGCAUCUUCCUGGGGCACCUGGAGCCAGUUCUUCUCAGGCUGCCCACUGAUCUUGGACCCAUAAAAUAAUAAAUGCCACUCUGGAGGCAGAGGUGCUGUGUGGCCACAGGGUGCCUGGAGCAGGAAACGAAGUCUCUUAUGAAAUGGUGCUUACGGAUAUGUGUUCCCACUGAGGCUUUUCAUUAUCGCUAGUGAAUUACCAUGAAUCAGCCAGGAGUAUACACUUCCAUCAGCGGAAUGUCAGAAUAGCUUCAUCUGUAGAUUCUGAUGGAGGUAGA